UUGCUACUGUUUUCUCCUCAGGACAA
rnacentral:piRNA from 1 species